ensembl:lncRNA
CAUAUUUGUGGACCACUAGAAUUUAACUACUUAAUCAUCUGUGUACUAUCUUCUAUUGCAAGGGGAAUGAACUCUUUGGUGCAUCACACUGGUACUUCUGAGUAUAAUGGACUGAAAUAAAAAAAGAUAGCAGUACUGUCUGGGUGAACAGAUUUCAAAGCCUGGUCUCAGAAGGCAUUUAGUUUUCCAGGCCAGUUUUCCAGGAAUAACCCACAUGUACAGCUCAAUCAGCAUGAUGUGCUGGGCAGAAGGAUGAAUUACAGCAGAACUCAGCAUGCACUCAUCUACUAUCUCAGUAGUGCUCUAAGGGAAAUACUGAACUGAACAAACUGUGGACAUACAUUAUGUGUAAUGGGAGAAGAGCAGAGCUGGAAAAAUGGUACGUGCACCUGAAAGAUAAUCAGUAAAAAAAGAACACAGCUCCCAGAGUUGUAAGCAUAGUGUGAGCUGUCUUCUUAAUGCCUGGUUUCUCAAGCAAAAUUACAUAUUAUUCCCAUUCCCUUUAACAUACUCAGAUAUUGUUAAACACAUCACCUCUCAGUAUUUAAAUGGCCACAAUUAUUUCACUCCUGUUCUGUUUUGUAGAGCUCCAAUUACAACUUCUGCACUCCUUAGGCUCCUCCUCAGUUAGCACUGCUGCUCAAUAAAGACAUGAAAGACUGCUGUACUUCAGUCUUUUAGUUCCAAAGAGCCUGUAUGGUUCACUUCACAAACAAAAUGCAUCUGUUCCCACUGCUCUUUUCAUGUUAUGGAGCUG